AAAGCCCGGGGCUUAACCCCGGAAUUGCACCUCAAACUACUUAGCUAGAGCAUGGUAGAGGGUAGCAGAAUUCAUGGUGUAGCAGUGAAAUGCGUAGAUAUCAUGAGGAAUACCAGAGGCGAAGGCGGCUACCUGGACAAUUGCUGACGCUCAGGCACGAAAGCGUGGGGAGCAAAAGGGAUUAGAUACCCCUGUAGUCCACGCCCUAAACGGUGCACACUAGGUCUUGGCGGAUUCGACCCCG
rnacentral:rRNA from 1 species